rnacentral:misc_RNA from 1 species
CAGCAGUAGCAGCAUCCUCGACAAAAAAAAAGGCUGAGCCGCCUACUCUCAACCCAAGCUUUCAUCAGUUUUGUUUACCCUUAUCUCUCUCUCUCGGAGUGUUCCCUUUUCUUUCCCCCUUUUUUGUUUUUGUUUUGAGCUCUUGUGCUUCACGCAUCUUGCUAACAUGGUGCUCACCUCCCGAUUGUCGCCUUGAACGCAUAGAAGUCCGCACCACCGCUCUCUCUCUCUCCGUUCCUUCCGUCCUCUGCUUCGCUUGUUCGCAGUCGCAGACACACAGAACAACGACAACAACGACCAACAAACAAUCAUUAAGACCCGACACACCACAACGACGUCUGCAUGUACAUCCGUCCAGAUAGCGAGAGAAGCCGCCGUCCCCUUCUGACGAAGCGCCACUCGUAGACGCGCAUCCACACACGCCAGCGAUCAACAACAAGCAAAAGCGCAAGAGAGCAGCAAGACAGGAGAUCACACCACAGCUGAAAGCCCCGUCUUAGUGUUUCUCUCACUCUCGCUGGUUGUGUGUGAGCCCUACUGCGUUCCCGCCCUCAAACACUCACAUCCGACCACACACCCGCCGCAGGAGCCAUGCCACCAAAGGCACCCAAGGGAGCCCCCAAGGCGGCGGCCAAGAAGGGGCCGCCGAACGCCAUGCUGGCGAAGCUCAAGAUGAAGAUGGAGCUUCAGAAGGCGGAAGAGGAGCGUCUGCGCCUCGAGGCCGAAGAGGAGGAGCGCCGUAUCCGUGAGGAGGAGAGGCUCGCUGAGGAGCAGCGCAAGUUCGAGGAGGCGGAGCGCCAGAAGGAGCGCGAGCGUCAGAAGGAGGAGGAGCGCCUGGCCCGCAAGGAGCGCAAGGCGGCUGGGAAGAACGACGCCCUCGACCGCAUGCGCGCGGCUGGCAUGAUAUUGCCCGAUGUAGAUCGCAUUCGCCAUGAUGAGGAGGUGCGCAAGGUGGAGGAGAACGCUGCGCCAAAGCCGAAGCCAAAGCCGAAGCCGAAGCCGGUCGUUGCCGCGGCGCCGCCUCCCGAAGAAGAGGAGGAGGAAGAGGGGGAGCCGACCGAGCUGACAGAGUCGGAAGAGGAGAUCGACGAGGACGACUGGGAAGCCGUCAUGGAGCGCGAUGAGCGCCGCGCCACCCGGCAUACGAACAACGAGCGCAUCCGUGCCGAGCGUGCUGAGCGCAAGGAGACGCGCGAGGCGGAGAAGCGGAGGAUGGAAGAAGAGAUUCGGUCCAAAAACCACGUUUUGGAGAAGGUGAGCAACCUGCGCUCCCCGAUUUGCUGUGUGCUCGGCCACGUCGAUACGGGUAAGACCAGCCUGCUGGAUCGCAUUCGCUCUACCAACGUACAGGGAGGCGAGGCCGGUGGUAUUACGCAGCAGAUUGGCGCCACGUUCUUCCCUCGCGAGUCCCUCGUGUCUGCCACGGCGGAGCUGAUCAAGAAGCACAAGUGCAACCUUAACGUGCCGGGUCUGCUGGUGAUCGACACUCCCGGUCACGAGUCCUUUACAAACUUGCGCAGCCGCGGCAGCAGCCUGUGCGACAUUGCGAUUCUGGUGGUGGAUAUCAUGCAUGGUCUGGAGCAGCAGACGCGCGAGUCCAUCCGCCUACUGCGCGAAAAACGGUGUCCAUUCAUUGUGGCACUGAACAAGGUGGAUCGCCUGUUCGACUGGCAGCCGCACGAGAACAUGGACAUACAGCAGUCACUGGAACUACAGAAGGCGCACGUCCGCAGCGAGUUCCACACGCGCUGGUGCCAGGUGAAGAACGAGCUCUCCGCUGAGGGGCUCAACUCGGAGCUGUACUACAACAACAAAGAGGUGCGCAACGUUGUGUCGGUCGUACCGACGUCGGCCCGCACCGGCGAGGGUGUGUGCGACCUGCUCUUGCUGGAGAUUCAGCUCGUGCAGCAGUUCAUGGAGGGCAAGGUGACCUACAAGGACGAUUUGCAGUGUACAGUGCUGGAGGUGAAGCCGAUCACGGGGUACGGCUUCACGAUCGACGUCAUCCUCAUCAACGGCGAGCUGCACGAAGGAGACGAGAUAUGUCUGUGUGGUCAGAACGGCCCCAUCUUCACGCAAAUCCGGUCGUUGCUGACACCGCAGCCCCUGCGCGAGAUGCGUGUGCGCGGCGAGUACAUUCACCACAAGUCGAUCAAGGCUGCAAUGGGAGUGAAGAUCUCCGGAAAUGACUUCGAGUACGUCAUCCCCGGUACCCAGCUCCUCGUGGUGCACGCAAACGACAACAAGGAGAAGAUCGCCGAGCUGGUCAUGAAGGAUGCAACCAAUAUCAACGAGUUCCUGGACCCCGACGGUCUCGGCGUGAGUGUGCAGAGCAGCACCCUCGGCGCCCUCGAAGCCCUUCUGUCGUUCCUGAAAGGCAUGAAAAUCCCUGUGGCGAGCAUUGCCAUUGGACCAAUCUACAAGCGUCACAUGCACCAGGUGCUAUCAAUGAAGCGGCGCGAGCCGCGCUACGCUGUGAUUCUUGCAUUCGACGUGCCGGUUUCCGAGGAGGCGCGCGAGAUCGCGAAAAAGAACGACAUCGACAUCUUCGAAGCGAACAUCAUCUACCACCUCUUUGACAAGUUCACUCGCUACAUGAACGAGUAUGAGCAGCGCGAAAAGGACCGCCUGCGCUCUGUCGCGGUCUUUCCGGUGCAGUUGAAGAUGAUUGCCGAGUCGAUCCACUCGACCGACCCCAUCAUCAUCCCAGUCACGGUGGAGCGUGGUCAGCUGCGCCCUGGAACGCCACUGAGCGCGAUUCGCAAGAAGGACGACAGCGUCGUCGUUAUUGGCCGCGUGAUGUCGAUGGAGCGCGACAACCGGCCAGUGGAGAUCGGCACCCCUGGCAUGGACCUGGCUGUGAAGAUAAACUCCGGUGAGUCGGGUGUCACCGUCGGCCGGCAGUUCGACAACAGUGACAUCAUUGUGUCGCAUAUCACUCGCCAGUCCGUGGAUGCCGUGAAGAAGUUCAAAGACGAGCUGAAGCCGGAUGAUGUGUUGCUGCUGGCCUCGCUCAUCAAGGUGCUGAAGGUGCCCAACAAGUAAGCACACAAGGCGAGGAGCAGCGCAGAAAGAACAACAAAACAAACCAAACGAAAAAAAAAGGUGGCGGUAGACUGAGAAGGAAGGUGAGAGGGAUGGAAAGGGUAGAAGGGGUCUGCACAGGCACACAGGCAGAGCUAGGACCACGGGCGGAGAUAAAAAGAAAAGCAUGCGUAAGAGGAGGAGAGUGUGUAUAUGUGUAUUGCUAGCUAUAUGGACCCGCACAUAUGCGUGUAAUGGUGUCGCUCCACACGCCUUCUCGUAUGUACUGGUGUGUGCGUGCGUGUGCGUGUUUUCGACUAUUGCUGUCGAGUCUCUUGUGGCGUGCAAUCACGCGCAAAUACGGCUGUAGCAGCUCGCCGCCGCCGUCGCCUCCUACGCCUUACGCUGUCCCUUUCCCACUCCACAGAUCCAUCAAUGAAGGCAACGUUUUGGCGCGCAGCAGUCUGCGCCAUCAUCCUGCCUAUCCUUUCCUCUGUCCCGGUCUCUUUAUGUUUCUCCUCAUCUCCCUGCGUACGCGAUGGCACCGGUGCACUGCCCUUUUCAUCCUGCAUUGCUUUUUUUUGCCUUUUCUGACGUUUUGUUCCGCCUGCUCACACGUUCGCACCGUUCGCUAUCCUUUUUACUGUUUUUUUUUUCUUUCGGUUUUGCUUUUUUGUUGUUGUCGGCGAUCCCCCCCUACACACACAGAGAGCCACUGUCAUUACCCUUUCUUUUUGUCCCUGUAUUCGCACACUCGACGUGUGCCGCGGUUGAUGACGGUGGUGGCCGACCUUGGAGAAGCGCCUGUGCUUGGUUCCUUUCCUUGCUUUGUAUGUGAUUAACAUGACUCGUAACUAACGCCUCUCCUCCUUCUCUUCCUCCUCGGUGCCUCGCUUUCGUUUUGUUUUUACCUCUUGUGCGUGAGUGUGCCGACUUUUUCGCUAGACAGCAGUCUUGUUGGUGCCGGUGCGUUCAUGUCAACGUCUUUCGAUCGCGGCGUUGGUGCGGGUGUGCGCGCAGAGAGAGUGGCGCGCGUGUGUUAAUUGCGUCACACAAGUGCCUCGCUCUUUCUCUCCCCCAAGUAACUUUUUUAUUUUUCAUGGUUGUUGGUGUUCUUUCGUUUGCCUUUCUUUUUCUCUUUCUGAUAUUGAUGAGACGCAGAUGCUCCUCUCCCUCCUCCUCGUUUCUCGUGCACGCACGUGAGCUAACGGAACACGGCCACUAGACAAGGCAAGCAACCAAGAAAAAACAUGCCUCUUGAACGUGAGGAUGUGAACUCAAUGACACCAUCAUGUUUGAGCAGCGUGUGCGUAUGCGUGUAGGUGGUACUGCUGAACCCUCCCCAAUUCUUCCCUCAUGAGUCAAACUGAGCAGACAAGCAUCCCCCCUUGAAAAAAAAAAGAAGCUAUCAAGAAAUAAGCUGCACGAGGUGAAGGGUAAAGGUCAUUGGUCUCAUCGGCAGCAAUGAGGCGAAAAGCAAAAAAAAAAAAAGAUAUACAGCAGUAGCGGCGGCAUGUGCAGCGGCUACUGCACAUGAUAACGUGAGUCUUUCUACACACAAC